CCCUUAGAUGUUCUGGGCCGCACGCGCGCUACACUGGUACGUUCAACAAGUUUACAACCUUGAUCGAUAGGUCUGGGUAAUCUUUUUAAUGCGUACCGUGCUAGGGAUAGAUUAUUGCAAUUAUUAAUCUUGAACGAGGAAUUCCUAGUAAACGCAAGUCAUCAGCUUGCAUUGAUUACGUCCCUGCCCUUUGUACACACCGCCCGUCGCACCUACUGAUUGAAUGACUCGGUGAAAAAUUAGGACUGUGAGAACAAUCGAUUCAGUUCGAAUGUACUCGUGGAAACUUUUUUUAACCUCGCCAUUUAGAAGAAGGUGAAGUCGUAACA
rnacentral:rRNA from 1 species